GAUGAACGCUGGCGGCGUGCCUAAUACAUGCAAGUCGAGCGAACAGAUGAGGAGCUUGCUCCUCUGACGUUAGCGGCGGACGGGUGAGUAACACGUGGAUAACCUACCUAUAAGACUGGGAUAACUUCGGGAAACCGGAGCUAAUACCGGAUAAUAUAUUGAACCGCAUGGUUCAAUAGUGAAAGACGGUUUUGCUGUCACUUAUAGAUGGAUCCGCGCCGCAUUAGCUAGUUGGUAAGGUAACGGCUUACCAAGGCAACGAUGCGUAGCCGACCUGAGAGGGUGAUCGGCCACACUGGAAGUGAGACACGGUCCAGACUCCUACGGGGGGCAGCAGUAGGGAAUCUUCCGCAAUGGGCGAAAGCCUGACGGAGCAACGCCGCGUGAGUGAUGAAGGUCUUCGGAUCGUAAAGCUCUGUUAUUGGGGAAGAACAAAUGUGUAAGUAACUAUGCACGUCUUGACGGUACCUAAUCAGAAAGCCACGGCUAACUACGUG
rnacentral:rRNA from 1 species